rfam:Conexibacter woesei DSM 14684, complete genome.
GGGGACGACAGGCUUCGACGUGGUCGAUUCGUGGGGAUGGUUGCGAGUCGAGGUUCCGGUUGGCCUCGUAAAACCACCGGAAAAACCAUACGUGCGGACUCUCACGAGUACGCCCUCGCCGCUUAGCACCUAGCUAAGGCAGUGAGGUUUCGGCCCCCGCCAGCCUGCCGUGGGGAUCGCCGGAAUCAGAAGCAGGCUCACCUGGGGAGGUACGCCUCUGCCGAACCGGGGACAUCUUCAGGAGGCUGGUCCCCCGCAACCCCGCCGGCGUGGCGAGCGAGGGACGAGAACAGAGCGCCGGCUACGCUCGUAGAAGCCAUCCUUUGCGCGACUGCGGACCCGGGUUCAAUUCCCGGCGUCUCCACUG